AUUUUUUUUGUCUAUGUUCUGAGGAAUGCAAGUUUUUCAGAUUUUACAGCAACAUAUGACUAUGAUGAAUGUUGUUGAUUGAUGAAUGCUUUGAUGAACAAAUAAAUCCAAACGUGUAAAUGAUGACCGUCUAUCUACUUCAAAAUCCUAUAUUGCUCAUUCACUUUUGAUCCUGUGAUUUUGACUUUUCUGCAGGAAGGUUUGAAAAGGACUCUA
rnacentral:misc_RNA from 1 species